GGGCUGGGGCCGCGGAUGAGAUGGCGGAAGGCGGAGGCUGCCGUGAGCGACCGGAUGCGGAGACCCAGAAAUCCGAGCUCGGGGCAUUGAUGAGGACCACGCUCCAACGGGGGCGCAGUGGUAUCUUAUUGACAGCCGAUGGUUUAAGCAAUGGAAGAAGUACGUAGGCUUCGACAGCUGGGAUAUGUACAAUGUGGGUGAACACAACCUAUUUCCUGGCCCAGUAGAUAACUCUGGACUCUUUUCAGAUCCUGAGAGUCAGACCUUGAAAGAACACUUAAUUGAUUAUGUACUGGUUCCAACUGAACUCUGGAAUAAGUUACUGAACUGGUAUGGCUGUGUUGAAGGCCAGCAAUCCAUCGUCAGAAAAGUUGUAGAGCAUGGCCUCUUUGUCAAGCACUGCAACGUAGAGGUGUAUUUAUUGGAACUGAAGCUUUGCGAGAACAGUGACCCCUCCAAUGUGCUGAAUUGCCAUUUCAGCAAGGCAGACACCAUUGCAACCAUCGAGAAGGAAAUGCGUAAGCUCUUCAACAUCCCUGCGGAGCGUGAAACACGGCUCUGGAACAAAUACAUGAGCAAUACCUAUGAGCAGUUGAGCAAACUGGACAACACUGUCCAGGAUGCUGGGCUAUACCAGGGUCAGGUGCUAGUAAUUGAGCCCCAAAAUGAAGAUGGCACAUGGCCCAGGCAGACCCUACAGUCAAAAGGACCUGGCCUCUCUACUUCGUAUAGUUGUCAGGAGUCCCCAUCGUCUCACAUACAGCCUGGGCUCUGUGGACUUGGAAACCUGGGAAAUACCUGCUUCAUGAACUCUGCACCACUUACCGACUACUUUCUCAAAGAUGAAUAUGAGGCUGAAAUCAACAGAGAAAACCCUUUGGGGAUGAAAGGGGCGAUUACAGAAGCCUAUGCAGACCUUAUUAAGCAGAUGUGGUCUGGAAGGGAUUCUCAUGUGGCACCACACAUGUUCAAAACCCAAGUGGGACGUUUUGCCCCUCAGUUUUCUGGCUACCAGCAACAAGACUCUCAGGAGCUAUUAGCUUUUCUUCUAGAUGGAUUGCAUGAAGAUCUGAACCGAGUGAAGAAGCAGCCCUACUUAGAGCUGAAAGAUACUAAUGGACGACCAGAUGCGGUUGUAGCAAAGGAGGCCUGGGAGAAUCACAGGUUGCGGAAUGAUUCUGUGAUUGUGGACACUUUUCAUGGUCUCUUUAAAUCUACUUUGGUUUGUCCAGAAUGUGCUAAAGUAUCUGUGACCUUUGACCCAUUUUGCUAUUUAACUCUCCUACUGCCCUUGAAGAAAGAUCGAAUUAUGGAGGUCUUCCUGGUUUCUGCUGACCUCUGCUGCAGACCUACUCAGUACCGUGUGACUGUGCCGCUGAUUGGGGCCAUAUCAGACCUGUGUGAGGCGCUCUCCAGCCUGUUGGGCACUGCUGCGGAAAAUAUGGUAGUCACAGAUGUGUAUAAUCACCGGUUCCAUAAAAUUUUCCAAAUGGAUGAAGUUUUAAAUCACAUCAUGCCUCGGGAUGACAUUUUUGUGUAUGAAGUCUGUAACACGUUGGAAGAUGGCUCAAAAUGCGUCACACUGCCAAUCUACUUCAGGGAGAGGAAGUCCAGGCCAUCAAGCACAUCUUCUGGGGCAGUGCUUUAUGGGCAGCUGCUGUUGGUUUCUGUCCCCAAGCACAAGCUGACCCUUGAGUCCUUGUAUCAGGCUGUUUGUGAGCGUAUCAGCCGUUAUGUAAAACAGCCUUUGCCUGAUGAGUUUAGCAACUCGCCCUUGGAGUUGGGAGCCUGCAAUGGCUCUAGGGGCAGCUGUGAAGGAGAAGAAGAAGAAAUGGAACAUCAGGAAGAAGGCAAAGAGCAACUGUCAGAAACAGCCGGCAGUGGGGAGGAAGAGCUGACAAGUGACCCCAGUGACACCAUCCAAAAGAAGGUCAAAGGACAGUCAUCCCUGACAAAGCUUUUCACCUUCAGCCUUGUGAACUCCUAUGGGACAGUUGACAUAAAUUCACUUGCAACUGAUGGAAAAAUACUUAAACUCAACUCUCGGUCCACACUGGCUUUUGAUUGGGAUAAUGAGACCCGGAGCCUUUACUAUGAUGAGCAGGAGUCUGAAGCCUAUGAGAAGCACAUGAGCAUGUUGCAGCCUCAGAAAAAGAAGAAGAUCUCAGUGGCCCUGAGAGACUGCAUUGAGCUCUUCACUACCAUGGAGACCCUUGGGGAGCACGACCCCUGGUACUGUCCCAACUGUAAGAAGCAUCAGCAGGCCACAAAGAAGUUUGACUUGUGGUCCUUGCCCAAGAUCCUGGUAGUCCACCUGAAGCGUUUCUCUUAUAACAGAUACUGGAGGGAUAGACUUGACACGGUUGUGGAAUUCCCAGUCAGAGCUCUGAACAUGUCCGAGUUUGUCCGUGACCUGUCAGCAAGGCCCUAUGUGUAUGACCUCAUUGCUGUGUCCAAUCAUUAUGGAGCCAUGGGGGUUGGCCACUAUCCUGCAUAUAUAAAGAACAAAUUGAAUGGGAAAUGGUAUUAUUUCGAUGAUAGCAAUGUGUCUCUGGCUUCUGAAGAUCAGAUCGUGACAAAAGCAGCUUAUGUGCUAUUUUACCAGCGUCGGGAUGAUGAGUUUUCUAAGACACCUUCAGUCACCAGUUUUCCUAGUUCCUCUGAAGGAGAGACAAGAGCAAGCAGCUCGCAUCAGGCCUUGGGGCAUGAUGAAGCUUGCAGCAUGGACACCCACUGA